rnacentral:lncRNA from 10 species
UAGCUCUUUAUCACUCAGAGAUUAUUCAGUAAACUCCAUAUAAAACUGUAUUGCAAAAUAUUCCUGACCUUUUUGUUUUUGUAUCAUCAUGGUGAUUUUGACUAGAGAGCAGAUGUGCAGAAGCUUUUAAGAAUCUAGAUAGCACGCAGCAUCAUGUCCACUCUUACAAAGCCAGAAUAAUUAAUAGUUCCUAUAAGGUGAUUUGGAACCAGGAACCUCAAUUGCCAAAUCAAGGCCAAAAUAACAAAUUUGAUAGAUUAUGGGAUCAACCUUAGCCAAAUAGCUUAUACCAUGAAACAAUAUAUAAUAGUUCCAACUUGCUUGUUUCUUUGAUCCAAGGACAAGAAGUAUGAGCAACGGCACAGACACCAGGAUGACUAAAAGAAAAAAAAAAAAAAAACCUAGGGUAAUGUUAUUGUCUAUCACUGCCCAUGCCAAUGAGUUGAGAUUGUUCUGUAUUUGUAUCUAGGACAAAGGCAAUAUCAUCAAUAACUUCUGCCAGAUUCUAGAAACUGAGAAAAUCAAGAUAAAGACGCCAGCAGACUCGAGGCCAGGUGUGAUAGCUCAUGCCUGUAAUCCCAGAACUUUGGGAGGCUGAGGUGGGUGGAUCACCUGAGGUCUGGAGUUCAAGACCAGCUUGACCAACAUGGAGAAACCCCGUCUCUACUAAAAAUACAAAAUUAGCCAGGUGUGGUGGUGGGCAACUGUAAUCCCAGCUACUCAGGAGGCGGAGACGGAAGAAUUCCUUGAACCGGGAGGCGGAGGUUGUAGUGAGCUGAGAUCGCGCCACUGCUCCCCAGCCUGGGCCGGAGCCAGACUGUGUCUCAAAAACAAACAACAAAAUAAAACAAGAAAAGAUUUAAUGGAAGACCUCAAUAAGCCAUUGUAGGCUGUAAAAUUCACCUAGUCCAAUCUUUCAGAGUCGUUUUGGACUUGAUAGUAGCUCAGUACCAAGAUCAUUACAGAAGUUAAU